rnacentral:rRNA from 1 species
UGGGGAAUAUUGGACAAUGGGGGGAUCCCUGAUCCAGCCAUGCCGCGUGUGUGAAGAAGGCCUUAUGGUUGUAAAGCACUUUAAGCGAGGAGGAGGGUACUGGUAUUAAUACUACCAGGUACUGGACGUUACUCGCAGAAUAAGCACCGGCUAACUCUGUGCCAGCAGCCGCGGUAAUACAGAGGGUGCGAGCGUUAAUCGGAUUUACUGGGCGUAAAGCGUGCGUAGGCGGCUAAUUGAGUCGGAUGUGAAAUCCCCGAGCUUAACUUGGGAAUUGCAUUCGAUACUGGUUAGCUAGAGUGUGGGAGAGGAUGGUAGAAUUCCAGGUGUAGCGGUGAAAUGCGUAGAGAUCUGGAGGAAUACCGAUGGCGAAGGCAGCCAUCUGGCCUAACACUGACGCUGAGGUACGAAAGCAUGGGGAGCAAACAGG